UUCAUAGAUGAUGAUGAGAUGAUUCACUUUAUCUUGAAUGGCCUCGAUUUUGAUUAUAAUCCCUUUGUGUCUUCUAUGCUUGGUCGGGCUGAUCUUUCUUUGAGUGAUUUGUACUCCCAAUUGCUUACAUAUGAUC
rfam:Setaria italica strain Yugu1 chromosome VIII, whole genome shotgun sequence.